rnacentral:rRNA from 1 species
CAGCCUGCCAGUGACUAAAUUCAACGGCCGCGGUAUCCUAACCGUGCGAAGGUAGCGUAAUCACUUGUUCUUUAAAUGAGGACUAGUAUGAAUGGCACCACGAGGGUUACACUGUCUCCUUUUUUUAAUCAAUGAAACUGAUCUCCCCGUGAAGAAGCGGGGAUAUUUACAUAAGACGAGAAGACCCUAUGGAGCUUUAAACAUCUAUAGCACUGGUCCACACUUCAUACCCUUCUGAGGUUUAAUCAUUAUAUAGACCAGCAUAACUAUUAGUUUUAGGUUGGGGUGACCGCGGAGCAAAAAUUAACCUCCACGUUGAACGGAAUUUAUCCUGAGCUAAAAGCUACGACUUUAAGCACCAACAAACUGACAUCAAUUGACCCAACAUGUUGAUCAACGAACCAAGUUACCCUAGGGAUAACAGCGCAAUCCAUUUCAAGAGCCCCUAUCGACAAAUGGGUUUACGACCUCGAUGUUGGAUCAGGGUAUCCCAGUGGUGCAGCCGCUACUAAAGGUUCGUUUGUUCAACGA